rnacentral:rRNA from 1 species
UACGUAGGUGGCAAGCGUUAUCCGGAUUUACUGGGUGUAAAGGGGGCGCAGACGGCGAUGCAAGCCAGGAGUGAAAGCCCGGGGCCCAACCCCGGGACUGCUCUUGGGACUGCGUGGCCGGAGUGCAGGAGGGGCAGGCGGAAUUCCUGGUGUAGCGGUGAAAUGCGUAGAUAUCAGGAGGAACACCGGUGGCGAAGGCGGCCUGCUGGACUGCAACUGACGUUGAGGCCCGAAAGCGUGGGGAGCAAACAGG